GGGGCGGAAUUCAUUUAUUGAUACUGCACCCACAAAUACUGUUAAAUUUAUUUAGUUUGGUCCACCUGGAUCAUUGGACCGGGAUGGGAGG
rfam:Halanaerobium hydrogeniformans chromosome, complete genome.